rnacentral:rRNA from 1 species
UGGGGAAUAUUGCACAAUGGGCGCAAGCCUGAUGCAGCCAUGCCGCGUGUGUGAAGAAGGCCUUCGGUUGUAAAGCACUUUCAGCGAGGAGGAAGGUGGUGAGCUUAAUACGCUCAUCAAUUGACGUUACUCGCAGAAGAAGCACCGGCUAACUCCGUGCCAGCAGCCGCGGUAAUACGGAGGGUGCAAGCGUUAAUCGGAAUUACUGGGCGUAAAGCGCACGCAGGCGGUUUGUUAAGUCAGNUGUGAAAUCCCCGGGCUCAACCUGGGAACCGCAUUUGAAACUGGCAAGCUAGAGUCUCGUAGAGGGGGGUAGAAUUCCAGGUGUAGCGGUGAAAUGCGUAGAGAUCUGGAGGAAUACCGGUGGCGAAGGCGGCCCCCUGGACGAAGACUGACGCUCAGGUGCGAAAGCGUGGGGCAGCAAACAGGAUUAGAUACCCUGGUAGUCCAGCGCUGUAAACGAUGUCGAUUUUGGAGGUUGUGCCCUUGAGGCGUGGCUUCCGGAGCUAACGCGUUAAAUCGACCGCCUGGGGAGUACGGCCGCAAGGUU